AGCUGCUCACAGAUGCAAUUCACCUCUGCUGCCGAAGUCCUACCCUGAGAGAAAAUCUAAGAAACUGAACUAUAAAACAUAUUUUCCACACAACUAAACAUAUUUUAGAGCAGUUUCUUAUAGAAGAGAGAACCGGGAAAGAAGCUGCUGACAUAUUCCUGUACUUGCUGUCUCAUUUCGCCUCUGUCCAGACCCAGUUCAUCAGAAAUGGACAUUAUUCACCACGGUUCCUGGUGACAAGGACACGUGUGGCUUGCAGUCUUCGGGUCAGACAACACUUACUGGUUGGAGCUGUGGUCAUCUCCUGAUAGGCCUGCGAGAGAGAAACACCCAGACACAAAGGAACCCAUGGGGACGUGUGUGACUGGUUAUGGCUCCCUGCUGGGCCUGAGGACACAGGACAUGCUGACUCUGGCACAUGGAGAGGCCCUUGUCUCCUGUAACUAGUUAUCCGGGACAGUUGUGCUUGAGCUUCUUCAGAUUGGAAAGUUGAAGUUGGAUCAUGUGCACAGUGCCACAGGCUGUGAGUUACAAGCCCGGGAUUCAAACUCAGGAAGUCUAACUCCAAAGCACGCACUCUCGCCGCUUUCUGGCUUCCAAUACACCUUCACCACCACUCUUCCACAGA